GCUUCAAAAACAAGUUUGGCGGGGUGGGGGAGUUUCUCCAUAUCACUCCAUUUGUGCUCUUUAACGAGUGUAGCCUUCUGACGGGCGACUUCUUCAAUAUCCGCCGUCAGUGAUUUGAACUUAUUUACCCAUAAAUCUUUAUCCGCUAUGUCGGCCAGUUAAAUUUCUAGAUCAGGCUUACUUACUCCGGUGAAUGCAACUGUGUUCAGCAGGGAUGGGUCGAUGUCCAGCGGUGUGACAGGGAAAGAGCAUACAGGGUUCACAACUUCGCACACAGGUUCGCACGGGUUCACACAAUCUAAAAGCUGCCAGCAGGCCAAAGGGAGCCGCUAUAAGGAGGCUGAAGAGCCACAUGCGGCUCCAGAGCCGCAGGUUGCCGACCCCUG